rnacentral:lncRNA from 1 species
UUGAAUUGUCGAUUCGGUCAUCGUCUUCAUUCAUCGCUUCGGCUGAAUAAGACCACACUGAGUAGGCGAUUCCCACAGUUGAGUCGCCGACUCCCACACUGAAUAGGCGAUUCCCAUAGUUGAAUUGUCGAUUCGGUCAUCGUCUUCAUUCAUCGCUUCGGCUGAAUAAGACCACGCAUAGCCCAGCUCUUUUACCGAAACGAAAAUCCAU